UUUUGUUUUUUUUUUCCUUUCUUGUACAGAUAGCAGUAUUCUCAGCUCAUGAACCUUCCGCAUUCUUUUUCAGGACUUCAGAAGUGAAAUACUGACUCAACACACUUCAUACAAACAUUGUGAUAUUGUGUAUGCCAAGCUCUCUGCAAAUAGAUUGCAAACAUAGGAUAUCAGGGAACUUACUCCACAGAGGUUUCCUUGAAGCUGGAAUUAUUUGCUAAGCCUGAAGGAGAAACUAAAACUUUACAUUUCUUAACUUAUCAACAAAAAAAGCUGUUUGUUUUACAUAUUUUAGAUCAUGAGUAUCUUGAAAUCUGAAGCCUUCUAAAAAUGUAGAUGGUGGACUAAAACAAUGUAGAAAACGUGACCAUUUUUGCAGGCUCUUCUCUCUCUGUGAUGUUUACACAGCAUGUUUGAGUACGCACAGUUGUAGCUGUUUAAAGAGGAGCCAGGUAGUCAUGAUGGUUGCAGAAAUAAAGCGUCCAGAGCGUGGUAGGUCACAAUGAGGCUAGCCAUGCCUUGUUACUGCCUUGGGGAUGAGCAGCGUUGGGGCAUUUUUUUUCCCAUAGACACCCCAGAAGGAAUUCUCACUUGGUAACUGAAAGGACUCCUUGUUUCCUCUCAGUCUCUCGCUGUUACAGUGCAAGAGCUGAGCACAAACCUUAUAGAUAGUGAGUAAUCAUCUAAAAAGACAUCGCGUUGAUUUUCCCAGUGAAACGUAGCAGCUACAGAAAAUCCAUUUACAGCUUGUCAAGGAUGGGUGAAAGAAAGAAAGGAAAAUCACAGAGGAGCUAAUUCUUCAUCUUUUUUCCUUUUUAGUCAUUAGAGCCCAUUAAGCCCAACUACAAGUCCCCUGUUAAGGACAGAAGACCGCUGCAGAUAUAAUGGCAAAUUCAAACGUGGGGAGACCCCUCGCAGUACUCUGUACACUGCCACCUGCCUACCACCAGCUUACUGUUGACAAUACUUCAUUGCCCAGUUGAAACCAAGUGGAAAACACCACCAAGAAAAACUCCUCGCUGCUCAGUUCGAUUUGUCCUCUAACAGCUUAUCUUGGGGAAG
rnacentral:lncRNA from 1 species